UUUUUAAAUACAAAUCUGCAUAUUGAUUUUUAAACAAACAAACAAAUCCCCCCCGCACACGAGCCUGCCUCUGGGAGGGAAAUAGCCAGGUGAAAUCUCACUCUGUUUCCAUGGACAACCCGUCCAUUAUCACCCAGGUGACUAACCCCAAAGAGGAGGAGAUCCUGUCCUGCACUCAGGAUAAAGUGUCCCAAUGUAAUAUCAGCUUGAAGAAGCAGAGGAGUCGAAGUAUCUUUAGCACCUUAUUCUGCUGCUUUCGUGACUACAAUGUCGAACCACCAUCUACCAAUAGCACCAGUGCUCUUCCUCCUUUGGUGGAGGAGAAUGGAGGACUUCAGAAGGGUGACCAGAUGCAGGUCAUGCCUAUACCAAGUGGAAUAUACUAUUUCCACGGGACUGAAGCAGUGCAGCAGUCGUUUCACUACAAGCCACCAGCUAAAUACCUCCUGCCAGAACUGACAGCAUCAGACUAUGGAAAGAAGUGCGUGGUCAUUGAUUUAGAUGAAACUUUAGUGCACAGUUCAUUUAAGCCAAUUAGCAAUGCUGAUUUCAUCGUUCCUGUUGAAAUUGAUGGAACCAUACAUCAGGUUUAUGUAUUGAAACGACCACAUGUGGAUGAGUUUCUUCAGAGGAUGGGAGAGCUCUUUGAAUGUGUACUCUUCACAGCCAGUCUAGCCAAGUAUGCAGACCCAGUAGCUGACUUGCUGGAUCGCUGGGGUGUGUUCAGGGCAAGGCUCUUUAGAGAAUCCUGUGUUUUCCACCGAGGAAAUUACGUGAAGGAUCUGAGUCGACUGGGACGUGAGCUGAGUAAAGUUAUUAUAGUAGAUAAUUCUCCUGCAUCUUACAUCUUCCAUCCUGAAAAUGCAGUGCCUGUGCAGUCCUGGUUUGAUGACAUGACAGACACAGAGCUGCUAGAUCUUAUUCCUUUCUUUGAAGGACUAAGCAAAGAGGAAGAAGUUUACAGUAUGCUUCAUAAACUCUGCAACAGGUAGCCCUUAACUUUGACUGACUUCUGCUGCUAGAUUGCAGUUGCUAGAGGCUGUCUCCAUCUUUUUCAGCUCUUUCAAAUGUAAGCUUUGGGGAGGUCACCCCUGUCAGAAGUGCUACUCUUGAUCUUCCUGUUACAUUGGACACGGACAAUCAUGAGUGAUGCUAUUAAGCCUUCAGAAGCCUGACUCCUAAGGUCAUGUGUUCAGACUUCUUUUUAAAAGGAAAAAAAAAAAAAAAGAAGCUAUUUUAAAUGGAACUCUUUUAAUGAAUUUCAUAAAUGGACAUCUUUUACUGGAUCAGCUUUUCUUAAAACAUGCCAAAAAAGAAGCUUGUAUUUCAGCAGUUGAAUUUCUCUCCCUUUCUUCCCCUCCCACUAUGCAGACAAUUCUACCCCCCUGCUUAGAGCAGUUGACCUGACUCUGAAUUUUUUCUUACAGAAUGAAGUGCCUUUUUGAAUGUUAUUUUAAGAUAAAAAUUCAUUUUUGUAUAAGACGUAUUUCCAGACAUCUUUUAGUCUUGUAUUGUCUAAAUGCUUUAAAAGGAAAAAGGAAAAAUUUUAUAGAGCACUGUAAUAUAUAACAAAGGAAAAAGUUGAAACAAAGAUGCUGGGUUCCUGUCUCCACAAUGACAUUAAGUUGUAUUACAUUUUGUCAUGCUCAGAAGGUUUAAGCAUUUGUGGGAGGGGUGAUUUGGGUUAAUUACAUGGUUGUUUCACCGAUAUGAUUUUGGGCACAGUUUUGAACAUAUCUGCAGUUGUUUGAGUAUUAGGGAAUGAUGGAAUUGAGAAAAUAAGGUGGCUAAUAGAUCUAAAGCACCUUUUCUUCUAGACAGAUGAAGUUCUAUUGUCUCUGCUUACGCACAACUGCCAUGCCUCUCAUUUUUUGGAAAACCAUUAUCUUGGGAGAAUGGGGAGGAGGUCUAUUUAUUAGUUUAAGAUUCUUUUCUUAAAAAAACCCAUCUGGGUAAGCUGGAUCUGCGUUGAGCUGUUUGGAGUACUUUUUUCUUUUAAUUGCUGCUACUGUAUACUCACCAAAUGGAGUUGACCAUCGGCUGUUACACUGUUUUUGCCACUGUGCCUGUGCUAUGAAACAUUUUCUGUAAGCUGCAAACUUGGGCAAUAAGUAAAAUGCAGGCUUCAUAACCCACCCCUAUGUAUUAGUCCUACGGUAUCUGAUAUACCAGAGAACUCAGUUAAAGGUGACCUGCAAAGGAUUUUUUUUUAAAUACUUUUUUUUUUUUUUCCAAUUGGGAUGAAGCCCUCUCCUUUCUUUGGUAUGUAAAAAUGCAAAAAGUAUUUUUCCCACAUCUCUGAUUUGUAUUUCUUCCUCAAGGUGUAAGGUACAGAUGGGGAGCUUUACUGAGUCUUGCUAGAAGGGCAGAAGUUACUAGCCCAGACUAAAAGUGGUCCUUUAGCUUUGGAGUUGAGUAAGUCUCAUCUCUGAAUCUGAGAACCUGCUUAGCAUCUUCUGUAGUGUCAUGGGUACCCUUUCAAAAGAAUAACUUUUAAAUAGUUUAAGCCUUGGAAGAACAAGGCACACCAAUUUUUUUUUUUUUUUUUUUUCCUUUCCAGUGUCACCUUUCAAUUAUUUUUCCGGACCAGAAAUCUACAAGCAUAAAAAUUACAGCUAUGUUUGGCUGUCAUCAGAGAAAACUAAAUGAAGUAGUUGGUGCUUCUAAGUAGCCUUGUGUUAAAUUCUGAAUAGUAGACCCCCUUUGCCUUUUCUGUUUUUCUUGAAAAGUCUUGACAACUUGGAAAAAAAUUUUUGCGACGGACUGGGAUUGUCAUCCUUGUCUAAAACAUUGGUGAAGCAGCUUAACAAGUUCAUUCAUAGAAGGACAGGCCAGCCUACACAGGCAGUGAGUAGAUUGUCGUAGGUGCAGUAUAAAACUGAAAGAUGACUUGCCCCCUUGCAGGGCAGCUGUGCACCAGCUGCUCGCUGUGUCUCGUAGCGAGGGAUGUUGGAGGCGGUCCCGUGACACUCGUGAGUCUGUACGGCAUCACCGUUUUGUUUUCUUACCAGUUGGCAUUACCUUAGUACUGUAUAAUUCUGUGCCACAACAAAAGACAAAACUGUCAAAUUUUAAAACCUACGUUGUUUAAAAAAUGGGAAGAAAAAAAAAAAGGACGUAUGGAUUCUGGUUAGUCCAUUAACGUUUACUUUCAGUUUAAGAUUGUUUAAUUUUGUAUUUGACUUCAGAAUAAUGAAACUAAGCUGCCAAAAAGUUGUUCUCUGAGCAGUAUUUUCAACUGUGUUUGUAGCUUCUAGGCUUCAAAUACAUAUUGCAGGGAAGUAUUCAGGUUGUAGUUAGUUGUGCAGGUAUGAUAGGAAUGGCUGAAAAAAUUCAAAGACUUUCUCGCUAGCAUUAGACCAAACAAUCUUCCAAUGAGACAAUAAAUACCCCCCCCCCCGAGACAUUACCAUUUAACGGUUGUGGACUGUUGCACGUGAGACGAACCAUGUCAUUAGUUUGCAUUUAUGAAAGCAGCGAUUUCAUGAACCAGUUGCCUUAAGUCUGUGAAUGAAUGUUGAUUAUUAAAGUGUCUUGUAUUGUUUUAAAAUCCACAUAUAAUGGACAACUGAACUUCUGCACCAGCUUCUGGAAGAAAGGUUCUGAUGAUGUUCUGUACAACCGUACUUGUUCUGUAUUUUUUAUUUUGGCUCCUGAAAUCCACAAAUUUUUAAAAAAACCCAACCUUAUUUUAACUUAGUACAGCAUUAAAAUGACACUUGGUGACAAUACAAAGGCGAAAAACUUGGCAACAGUUUUGAUCUCUGCUAGUAUCUUAAGAGUAUUUUCUAUAACUUCUGACGAUUUUUUUUUCUUUAACUCAUUCCCAUUGAAAUAAAACUUGGAGUGCUCUGCAGUCAGGUUUGGACUUCCCUGGGUAUUCAAAUUUGGCCAAAGGGAUCAAACUGUCAUAGUUGUUUAUUUUGACACUAUCGUUGUACUUGAAAUGUCAAGUGUUAAGUUUGCGUGAAUAUACAUACGCUAUAUAUUUAGAGUUUCUAGAUUUUAACAAAGCAAUAUAGUUCUGUCCAUAAAGUCAGAUAAUGAGCGGAAUGUUUGUAAAAUUUGCAAUACGGGUAUCUGAUUAUAUUUUAAAUACAAGAUUUUAAAAAUUAAAAUAGGAAAAAAUACUUGUUUCCUAAAUCUUUUGCAUAUUUUGAAGUGCAGUUAAUGCAUGCAGGUCACCAGGGCUGUUAUAAACCCUGGUUUUCAUUUCUCUUUCUGGAUAUUAUAGAAGUAUUAAGAAGUCUUUUCCAGUUGGUCAUUCUGUUCAGCUAAAGAAAUGCUGCCUGGCCUGAAGUUCUGUUGUCCUUUUAUGUUGGGUUAAAAAAGGUUUUUUGCCUGUAUAGGUAUUUUAAAUUAAGCUGUAAGGCAGGAUGCCUUAGAUUCUUGAAAUUCAAUUGAAGUGUUACGAUUAAAUUGCCAUUUGUAAACUAGGGCUGUGCGCAGAAUACUUGUUAACCACCAGGAAGCGUGGCAGGUUUUGAAUGGAAGAUCGUAGCAAAUGUACAAUAUUGCUGUGUUCAUUUAGGUAGCUUUGGAAGAAUAAUUUGUCUUAUUUGUUUUGCCCUUUAAUCUUUUUUUAAACAGCAAAGUUAUACAUGGAAGAAACUCGACACCUGAAGAGAUUUGGUUAUCAGUGUAUGCAAUCACUUUUUCACAGCAUGAUUUUGAUUAGACUGGUUGGGGACAAUAAAGUAUCUAAAUGACACUGGUGUGUACUGAUGUUGCAGCUUUUGAAAUUUCAGUGUAAAAAAAAAAAAAAUCUGUAGCUAUAUAAUUUACAAACACAUAAUCCUAUGUUUUACAGAUUCUUUUUAAACUAAUAAAACACAGUACCGC